CCUACGGGGGGCAGCAGUGGGGAAUAUUGCACAAUGGGGGAAACCCUGAUGCAGCGACGCCGCGUGAGUGAAGAAGUAUCUCGGUACGUAAAGCUCUAUCAGCAGGGAAGAUAAUGACGGUACCUGACCAAGAAGCCCCGGCUAACUACGUGCCAGCAGCCGCGGUAAUACGUAGGGGGCAAGCGUUAUCCGGAUUUACUGGGUGUAAAGGGAGCGCAGACGGCUGUGCAAGUCUGGAGUGAAAGGCGGGGGCCCAACCCCCGGACUGCUCUGGAAACUGUAAAGCUGGAGUGCAGGAGAGGUAAGCGGAAUUCCUGGUGUAGCGGUGAAAUGCGUAGAUAUUAGGAGGAACACCAGUGGCGAAGGCGGCUUACUGGACUGCAACUGACGUUGAGGCUCGAAAGCGUGGGGAGCAAACAGGAUUAGAUACCCUUGUAGUC
rnacentral:rRNA from 1 species